AACGAACGCUGGCGGCAGGCCUAACACAUGCAAGUCGAGCGAGGACUUCGGUUCUAGCGGCGGACGGGUGAGUAACGCGUGGGAAUGUGCCCUUCUCUACGGAAUAGCCCUGGGAAACUGGGAGUAAUACCGUAUACGCCCUUUUGGGGAAAGAUUUAUCGGAGAAGGAUCAGCCCGCGUUGGAUUAGGUAGUUGGUGGGGUAAUGGCCUACCAAGCCGACGAUCCAUAGCUGGUUUGAGAGGAUGAUCAGCCACACUGGGACUGAGACACGGCCCAGACUCCUACGGGAGGCAGCAGUGGGGAAUCUUAGACAAUGGGGGCAACCCUGAUCUAGCCAUGCCGCGUGAGUGAUGAAGGCCUUAGGGUUGUAAAGCUCUCUCAGCUGGGAAGAUAAUGACGGUACCAGCAGAAGAAGCCCCGGCUAACUCCGUG
rnacentral:rRNA from 1 species